rnacentral:rRNA from 1 species
CGCGGUGAGGUGACGAUUGAGAGACUAAUGAUAUAUAUGAUUGAGUGUAAGGGGUGAGUGUUGGUGAGCUAGUAUGAAUAAAGGAACCAUGAAGGAGGAUCCCGCACUCCUUGUCGUCCUCGAUCGAGGAAGGGCCGCCCUACCGUAGGAGGAGGAGUUAGUAGGUCCAGCAGUCACUCAGGUAGAACCUGUCGCUGCAGUAGGGGAGGAGCGAGUAGCUCUAACGCGGGAAGGAGGCACAGCGGUUGCUCCAACUCCGCUAGUUGGGUGCGCAGCGUAUGGAUACAGCUAAGGUACCGCCUAAGCUCUUCCGCGUAGCGGAGCUGGGCGAGAGGUUGCCGGCACCACAGGCCGUCAAGUUCUAGCGCGAGGACGUCUCCGAGCUUUCCCAUGUACGUCGUAUUAACUAAUAUAAGGUAAGGGCGAGGAAAGGCGCGACGCUAGAUGAUGAAUAAUAUCGAAGUUUUAGUAUCCGCAUACGUUAUCAUACAAAGAUUACGUCGUCACUUUGAUCAACGUGCUGUAGGUUGUAUAUAUUUGGCAUAAUUCUCGAAGUGAAAGGAACGUUACGUACACAAAGGAAGGAGCCCUUUUGCUAUGGUGGAACUUCCCCUCCCAACUCGUCUCGCUACGACAGCUUUAUUUCUUAAAGAUGGUCGUUAUGAUGUUCUACAUGUAGGUCCGCGAGGUCUUACGACGUCUAUUUCGACUUGCACUAGUCGAGUGUUUCCGAAUGAUCUGAUGUCGACACAACAAACUCCAGGAGUUCCGUCAACUAGUCUGCUUCACAACCAAAGUGGAGGGACGACCGCUGACAACGUGUAAAAGUUUUGUGUGUUGGUGCAGCUAGGACUAUCAAGAUAGUACUCUACAGGGUUCUAGGUACGGUGAAUAGUGUGGGAAGCACUGUGGUCCCCAGAUGGUACCGGAUUCCUGGUACCUUUCUUUCUUCUACGUCUAGAAGAACUAACCGGAGUACGUUACAAACCCAAAGUCUUUUUAUUACACAGGUUAGUUUCUCUUGUAGAGUAUGAGAACUAACCGUCGUAUGUAUAUUCCGUCUAGAGGUUUGUACUUGUUGUGGGUUUCAAUCUACUGGUACACAACCUAUGUUGUUACUUGUUCGAUAAGUUCUUGAUGUUCUCUACCACGUUCGUGGAACCGGCGUUUUGAUCGAAUACCGACGGCUGUUAAGUUGUUCUUCAUGUUGUCGCCUUCGAAGAGAUAUACCCGGAAAUAGACGAGUAUACCCCUCUCCGUCGAUUGAACGCUAAAUACGGUCUCACAGAAACGAUGUAGAUGGUAGUAUACCGAAAACUUAACAUACCGUACAACCGACCUUUACACUCGGGUUGUUGACCACUUUUACAAUUUGGUCGGAUACCACCACGGCUUCUUCGGAAGGACUUCUUUCAACACUGGGGUUAAAUGUUUUAGUAUCUCUACCUUCGACUAUCCUCGUUCUGGUACUUUAGUUUUGUGAGUGUAACCUCCUUAAUACUACUAGAGUUACUCAUGAAAACCAGUUCUCUAACAAAAGCCAAUCCUACCGGAUACUCCCGACUACGACUAAAAAAGUUCUGAGGUGUAAAACAAGAGUUAUGGGCACUAGUCUGCUUACCUCUCGUGUCUGGUCGACCAUUACUGGUAACCUACCCUUUUCAGUUGAAACAACUUUAUGCCAGUAAAACCGUGUAGAAGGCAUCGAAACUGUCCUACACCUCGAAGAAUUAAAAUAGGAAUGUCCGGUACCAGUAUCAACGAACCUUACCACCGUGCGGUCCACUGUAGAAACUACGUCCUCACAAGUUUGUUCAAAACUCGUAUAAAUAUUGACGACGUCAUUACUUUUACCCGGUUCGUUAAGACCUGUAACAGAACUCGACCUUUCGUUCUUCUUCGUACAGAGAACGACAAUUUGAGGCCAUGUAGAACUUUAAUGAUAGUCCUCGACGUACCCAACAUUAAAAUGGUCAAUGAAUGCGCAUGUGGAGUCUGUUAGGAUGACCUGAGUUAUCUUGUUAGUUUUCGACCAAGCCACUGCCGGCCUUGGUCGGUAGCAAUAUGUAGAACCGCCAACACCAUAUAAACAGUGGUUUAUACGACCGCCGAUGCAAUAAGUAAAAAGGACAGGACUCCUCUAAAGAACUCUUCAGUUUAGAAUUUCAACAUCGGGAGUAUUACACCACCAGUGUCGGAGCGAAUAAGCAACCGUCUCCUUACGUACUUCCACGUAAGAGCGAAAAGUUCAUAUGUUACAAGACCCAGUAAGAAAACCGGUGUUUUAACCAUCACUCGAAGAUGCACCUCUAGUCCGGUGAGCACGUUGGUUGUUUUCUAUAUUACUUCCACGGUUAUUGUUGUAAAGUCACCGUGCUCAAGAAGGGUGUACGUUUCUUGUUGUAGCCACAACAGUAACGUGAAACCCGAGGAUAGUAAGAACAGAUAAAGUACCUAUGGGUUUAUACCAUACGUUAAAAGAGUUGUAAUCAACCACCAUAGAUACCCCGUACAGCAGCAGAACCACUCUAUGCCUGGAAUCCUUACAAUUCCAGAGCGAAGCUCAGAAACGGUUUCCGAAAGUUACUAGUGAACUAAGGUUUACUGAGUUUCUCCUCUCCUAAGGCGAGGCGAAAGAGGUCGUUUGGAAUAUUCUUUGGACUCCUACCGUUUCUUCUUCUGUUUUAUCGACGUUCUAAACGAGUCUAUACCUUAGAUUAAUAGUGUUCGAAGGCGGUCCUUCUGAACUAUCUAUUGUCCCUCUUCCUGAACAAUGAACAAGGUAUGACGUUCCUAGCACUUUACCUAUACUAGGUCACCGGUGGUAAGGACGAACGAUCGUUCUAGGGUUAUCGUAACCUAUACCGUCGCCUGUCACCUCCUUUUCUGGCACUAGAUUUCUUUUCCUACCUAAGACUAGGUAUAAAAUGAAUACGGUAGUUCCUUACGAUACGAAGUAAGUUUUUGCACUAUAUACGACAUCACCAACCAGGUGCCCUCGCGCUACAGUAGGUUUUCUAAAAAUUUCACCACCUACUAGAGCAUCGUCGACUAUGAGACUAUUUCCUAGACGUGUACUCAUUGAAUGGAUGGGACUCGUUCUUCAAAUAACUCGACGAACACUAUGACGUUUUCUUAUUGUUUCUUCUAGACCCAGUCCAGUAGUAAAACAAGGUCCUAUACGAGCUCCACCAAUGUUCCCUAUAUUACCUUCUGGUUGAGUGGCUCGAUGACCUUGGCCAUGUACCACCUUUAUUGUCUUUUGUGCUUCCCUAAUGUGGUGAACUAGUUGUCCUUGUCCUUGUCAACAAGUGAUUUCGGCAACUUAAACUUAAAGGACAGUUCCGUAGUCUACGGACCUUCCUUUUCUAUUUUUCCGAAGUGGAAGACGAGUGUCACUUCCUCAGACGAUACCUACAAGGAUGUUUGGACCUACGAUCUUCCUCCUAUAGAAAGAAACGAUUAAGAGAGAAAUACCUGUACGGUUUUCGAGGUUUUCACGCGUUAUACGACGGGAAGAGACAGAACUGAGGGAUAAUGUUUCUUCUGCAGGAAAAGAGGAGUGUUCGCGAGCUCCUUCUCUUGCUCCUACCCCAAAGAUAGGAAAAAAUGGACGUUUUUUAGAUGGGUCUACUUACCUUUUUGAAAGAACUUUCCCACCUGACGUUCUUACUUCUCCUUGAGGCACUCUGACUUGUUUGCCUUCUACUCGAAGCGGAAACCCGUAGUAUAUCCCCGGUUUGAAACUGCUCUUGACAUUCUCCCUACUACAUGAUGGCUGUUCGAAACCACGAAGUCAGGACAGAACUGUACCGGGGUCUCUUACUAGAGUACCUUCCGAAGUCCCGACGUCUAUAUGAUAGACUCCUCAGCGUGAAUAACUGAGUCAGCUUUCGACAUCGGCUGUACUUCAAAUGUAUGCAACAUAGUACGGUCAGUAUACCAUAGGUCUUUGCAAGACCACUAGGUGCACGUGUCCUAUAAGACUCUGAGUACUGAUGAAUAGGUAGUGAAGCCCAACGGAUAUAACUGCUUCAGCUCCUCUGUUCGUUUCUCCCCCUCCGUUCAUUUCUAUCCUCGUUCUUCUAUCUCUUCCAAAUGAUGAGCCGCAACCACUUCCGUCGUCAUUGAUUCGGACUACUAGGACCGGUCUUUGAACUAGUCCUGUAAAUGUCCUAUUUUGAAGGUCCCUUACGUUACAACCCACUUCCCUUUGGUCUUUUAGUCUUGGUACGCUAGUAAAAAUGAGCUCCACUUCCGGACGUUUGGUAUCUGUACUUAGUCCUCGUAAUAUACCUCCUCUGUAACUUUUACUCUUUGGACAACGUUCUCAAAUGGUUCUUUGUACUACCACACUCCAUAGGUUGUUAUGAACCACAUUCUCUUGUAUAUAAGUGACCGUCACAAAGAAGCGAACGCACCAAGUACAGUUUGGUUCUCUGUUCAAAACACUGGUAACCUGUUGCACAUGAACGGUUAGGAAAUUCCCAAGCUAAAGUAAUACCUGUAGGACUAUAGAAACUAGCUGAAAAGGUAGAGUGUUCCCCACCACAUUCGUUUCGUAGAUUCUAAUAGUUAGAAUCACUCCUGUAUAAACGACCUAAGUUAAGUUGUGACGCACUUCCUUUGCAAUGUGUAGUACUUAUGUACGUUCAACCGUUCCCUUCUCUACAACCAGAGUUGGUCUAAAGUGAUAAGCUCCGUUUUUAACGUAUACCAUUACCGCUUGUCUGUGACUCGGCACUGUAGAUGGCUGAACCCGUAGCAAAACUAAAGAAGUCUUACAACAGGACGAUGAUAUGAUGGUAACCGAAGAUGAAGUCGUGUUACUAGUGACAUACCUGGCAUAUACACAAGGAGAUGCCCGCAAACAUAGAACAGGAGUCACCGGAGCUACUUCCUGAUCGGUGACCUUCUUCCAAAUAUGUGUUACUGGGAGAGGUUCAGCGAGAGCGAAGCGUUAGCAAACAAGUCGAACCGAAGAACUACCGUGAGGGAUACUACUACCUCUAGCCAGACCUCUCUCCCAAGUCCUGUCGUAACUCGCUGAAACACGAGUACGUCGAAGUCAAUCGCAGGCAGAAGAAGUGUAAGAGGGAACCUUGGUUCUGAGUGAUGAUGCCUUUCUGCGACGAGGUACCUCCUCGGCUCAUGUCCCGGUGGCCCGCGCCUAAGCACCACAAGGUGCGGUUCAAGCGGCUCUUGAUGGCGGAGAUGAGCGCGUCGGUAAAGCAGUUCCCGUAACUCGACUACUAGGACGAAUAGCACAAACUCUAGAAGCCCGUCAGCAUGGCGCCUCGGUAGCGCAUGUAGAAGUAGUGGAAGAGGUACACCAAGUACCAACAGUGGACCGAGAAACGCGGCAAGGACAAGUUGGGAAGACCCAAGCUCACCGUCUUCUAACACCUGCUGACCUGGCUGACCUUGUUCACCUAGUCGUUGGCGCCCCCAUAGCCACAAAGCGGCCUGUUCUCGACCCUCAGUACCACCCUCUUUCUCGUGCUCGGGGAGUUUAUGAGGCCCUUCGCACCGUGGCAAGAACUCUAUCACGACCGGCACGCGAAGAAGUAGAUGGUCAUACCCGAACAAAUGGUAGAGUUGUAUUGGUUUGUGUGGUUCUCGCAGGACCACAUAACGAACAGUACCCAACAGUAGAAGAAGUAAAACGACCACUACUUCCGACACAGCCAGCCAGCUGCCUUUAAGUCGCGCCUCAAGGUCGAACACAAGGCCGACGAGUUCCCCGAGUAGAAGUAGCAGAAGUAGAGGUGGUAGCACUAGGACUAGCACUAGGGGGUGUACUGCUAGGUCCUGUAUAAGCAGACGUAGGAGCGCAAGUACGGCUGUCCUACCCCGGACGAGGACCACCGAGUCCGCGACUUCGGCCGCUAGUACUCGCACCCCGACACCCCCAGCUAGGCACGCGACCGAGCACCCAUGCUCUAGUAGUACCCCGACGACGAGAAGUGGGGCUAGCGCAAGGACCGCACCAAGGGCAAGCACAGCCUCAAGGUCUGGGCCUACGAGAAGUUGGUCCGGAAGUCGGCACCCGACGUCUAGAGCUCCUAGGACCCGCCCGUGUUCUUCCUGGCCCGCCGCGCCUCGUUCCUACUAUCCAUCUAUCUAACGACAUCAUCGAUCAUUCCAUCUACCACCACUACCGUACGUACGACCUACCAACAUCACCAACACCAAACAGUGAUCAUACAUCGUUGGGACCAACAAAACACCAUAGGAUGAAACAUCACACCUAACCUCCUACCCUAACUAACGGACGAACGAACGACAUCUUACAUCACUUGUUCUUUAGGUACACCUACGUACCAUACCAAACAUCAUCAUCAUCAUCUCCCUCCUCCGUACGUACCAUAGAUGAUGUGACUGGACUAUAACCACUAAUCAUUAAUAUUGACAGAGACCACGGACGAACACACCAAAGAGGUACAUUUUUCUUC